rnacentral:rRNA from 1 species
UACGUAGGGUGCAAGCGUUGUCCGGAAUUAUUGGGCGUAAAGGGCUCGUAGGCGGCUUGUCGCGUCGUCCGUGAAAGCCCGAGGCUUAACCUCGGGUCUGCAGUCGAUACGGGCUAGCUAGAGUGUGGUAGGGGAGAUCGGAAUUCCUGGUGUAGCGGUGAAAUGCGCAGAUAUCAGGAGGAACACCGGUGGCGAAGGCGGAUCUCUGGGCCAUUACUGACGCUGAGGAGCGAAAGCGUGGGGAGCGAACAGG